rnacentral:lncRNA from 1 species
AGAUCUCUAUACCCCGUCCGGUAUGGGAGACCACAAUCCCGGUAGGGUUCCCUACGGACUCGGUCCGUCCACCAUCUCCCAGGAUAUCUAGUCGGGCUGAACACAUUAUACAAUUUCCAUUCACAUAAUCUUUCAUUCUCCUUUUCCCUCAGUCAGCAUUAUCAAUCACAUACAAACAAGCAAAACGAUAAUUUAUGCCAAACAGACAAUCCAUAAUCAAUAAUCAAUAAAACAGUAAAAUAUGCACACGAAACUAUAAAAUGAAAACAUC